AACGCGAAGAACCUUACCUACCCUUGACAUCCAGAGAACUUUCCAGAGAUGGAUUGGUGCCUUCGGGAACUCUGAGACAGGUGCUGCAUGGCUGUCGUCAGCUCGUGUUGUGAAAUGUUGGGUUAAGUCCCGCAACGAGCGCAACCCUUAUCCUUUGUUGCCAGCGGUUCGGCCGGGAACUCAAAGGAGACUGCCAGUGAUAAACUGGAGGAAGGUGGGGAUGACGUCAAGUCAUCAUGGCCCUUACGAGUAGGGCUACACACGUGCUACAAUGGCGUAUACAAAGAGAAGCGACCUCGCGAGAGCAAGCGGACCUCAUAAAGUACGUCGUAGUCCGGAUUGGAGUCUGCAACUCGACUCCAUGAAGUCGGAAUCGCUAGUAAUCGUAGAUCAGAAUGCUACGGUGAAUACGUUCCCGGGCCUUGUACACACCG
rnacentral:rRNA from 1 species